AUAAAUCUUGCAGUCAUAAGAAUAAAAUGCCUGGAUUAGUUUUUUUCUUUUCUGGGGCUGCUAUGCGUUAAGCAGUGAAUGGGUUUUUUAAUCGAUUCUAGGAAUGUAUGCAAAAGUGAGAGCGACUUUAUGAAAUGGCUUGGUGGUUUGUCUGAUUCGGCGAAUUAUCACAAUACAACAAAGCUUUAAAAUGCAAGUUAAAGCGAGUAUAUUACUUGGGGCAGAUGACAAGUAACCGAAAGGGGUGGUAAUCAAA
rnacentral:ncRNA from 1 species